UUCUCAACCAAAUCACGAAGAAAACAGAACUCAAACAAAAGCGAGGGGAGAAGAGGCCACUUGCAGAUGCAGCAGGGUUCAAAAGGCUCCACUGUGGGUACCUCACGCCGCUGUUCCAAGAACCAGUAAUUCUUCCUGAGUGACUCCCCUUGGCUGAUUUCAACAUGGAUUUCAAUAUGGAAGCGGAGCUUAAUGAAAUCAGUGUGAUGCCAUCUGUGGAGUUAGCACCCCCAGGACACAGAGCACGGAAGGAAGGGCAGACAACAGAUCUGAGCUUGAAGAACACAGAAUAACCAGCAAGUAAGAAAGUGUGGCCACCCCAGGACGUGGCAAACUGUAUGGGCCCUGUGACUGCCUGGUUCCUCUGCCGCAUGCCCCUUCAUCUUCUUGCCUGAUCCACAACUCCUUGCUAACACCCACAGGUGCCAGUGCGCCUCCAGGAAGGAGCUCCUUGGCUUUCAUCGCCUGUGAAUCUCUCCGCUCUCAUUUCACCAUUGCUAGGUCCUUCAGUGAAGCCAGAGCAGUUUUCCAGCCAACCCAUGAGUGUCUCUUUAUGGCUCAGCCAUGAGGCCCGACCUUUGGGUAGGAGGGGCUGGUCCUGACAGUGGGACGCAGGAGCCUGGAGAUGCUGGCUACCAGUCGCUGUGACUAGUCAGGCUGUGAGUCUCCAUCAGAUCCACUCAGAAUGGUUUUCUGAAGCAGUCACCCUUCUGUGAAGAAUUACAGCGUGAAGUCUGAAACCAACUGAUGGGAUUGGGUCUCUGCCACUUCCCAGAGGGGCUUCUUGCCAAAGACUUCGUGUUUUAACCUGACAAUGGGUUAAAUAAUGACUAAGAAUAUCCACCAUGCUUAAUCUAAUGAGGUUAUUAUGAAAACUGAAUGACAAAGGUG